GUGCCAGCAGCCGCGGUAAGACGGAGGAUGCAAGCGUUAUCCGGAAUGAUUGGGCGUAAAGCGUCCGCAGGUGGCAAUUCAAGUCUGCUGUUAAAGCGCAGGGCUUAACUCUGUAAAGGCAGUGGAAACUGAAUAGCUAGAGUGUGGUAGGGGCAGAGGGAAUUCCCAGUGUAGCGGUGAAAUGCGUAGAGAUUGGGAAGAACAUCGGUGGCGAAGGCGCUCUGCUGGACCAUAACUGACACUCACAGGACGAAAGCUAGGGGAGCGAAUGGGAUUAGAUACCCCAGUAGUCCUAGCCGUAAACGAUGGAUACUAGGUGUUGUCUGUAUCGACCCGGACAGUGCCGUAGCUAACGCGUUAAGUAUCCCGCCUGGGGAGUACGCACGCAAGUGUGAAACUCAAAGGAAUUGACGGGG
rnacentral:rRNA from 1 species